UCAACUACUCUCGAUUUUCUAAAAAACUGUCGGCUCCCUCUCUCUAAAACUCACUUUCUAUCUCUCCUCUCUAACUCAAACCUCACGUCCCUCUCUCCCUCCGCCAUUCUCCUACAAAUUCUCAAAACAGCAAAACUCGUCUCCCUAGUUCCAAAAUCGGCGCCACCUUACACCCCUCCGUCACCGAGCAGCCCAUUGCCGCUGUCACGGCAUCUCCAUCGCCGCUGGUUCUAACGCUACACCUCCGCCGCUGCGAUCUCGUUCCAGUCAGUUGUUGUCCGCCACCCGGCCCUUAGCGCUGUCCGGCCAGCGCUCUCCGGUCAGGAAGUGGCCGUCUCACACGACAGGAAUCAAAAGGGAAACUUCUAUCGGUAUUAAAGAUCGAAGCUUUAGGAGGAGGGUAUUAUUCAACAAAUUGCAGAAAUUCAAUUGGUAGACUACCGUGAAUAUAUAUGCCAUGGAAGAUUUCAUAAAUAACAGAAGAUAUACCUUCAAUUGGAUAGGAUAAUUUGCAAUUGCAGGAACGAUUUUCACUGUGCUUCUCUUCUUAGGUUUGGAAUUAAUGGAAAAGAUUGUGGGAAUAUAUAUAUAUAUAUAUAGGCAAAACUGAUAGAUAUUGAUGGAUUUGGUGGUUGGAGAGAUUUUAGGGAGUGGAGAUAUGGGGAAAUCGUUUGGUGAUGGGGUUUGGAGAAAUAUGUUUGACCAAGUAGAUGACUACAAAUUUGGAAUAAAUAAUUAAUUUUUUUC